CGGGGGGGAAGUCUGACGGAGCAACGCCGCGUGAGUGAUGAAGGCUUUCGGAUCGUAAAACUCUGUUGUUAGGGAAGAACAAGUGCUAGAUGACUGUGUGCGCCUUGGCCGGAUCUAACCCAAAAGCCACGGCUAACUACCUGCCCGCCGCCGCGGUAAUA
rnacentral:rRNA from 1 species